UACGUAGGGUGCGAGCGUUGUCCGGAAUUACUGGGCGUAAAGCGUGCGCAGGCGGUUUUGUAAGCCAGAUGUGAAAUCCCCGGGCUUAACCUGGGAAUGGCAUUUGGGACUGCAAGGCUGGAGUGUGGCAGAGGAGACUGGAAUUCCUGGUGUAGCAGUGAAAUGCGUAGAUAUCAGGAGGAAUACCGAUGGCGAAGGCAGGUCUCUGGGCUGACACUGACGCUCAUGCACGAAAGCGUGGGGAGCAAACAGG
rnacentral:rRNA from 1 species